rnacentral:rRNA from 1 species
UACGGGGGGAGCAAGCGUUGUUCGGAUUUACUGGGCGUAAAGGGCGCGUAGGCGGCCACCGCAAGUCGACUGUGAAAUCUCCGGGCUUAACCCCGGAAAGGUCAGCCGAUACUGCGGGCUAGAGUGCAGAAGGGGCAACUGGAAUUCUCGGUGUAGCGGUGAAAUGCGUAGAUAUCGAGAGGAACACCUGCGGCGAAGGCGGGUUGCUGGGCUGAUACUGACGCUGAGGCGCGAAGCCAGGGAGCGAACGG